GACGAACGCUGGCGGCGUGCCUAACACAUGCAAGUCGAGCGAGAAUUUAGUAUUGGAGACUUCGGUCAAAGAUAUUAAAGGAGAGCGGCGGACGGGUGAGUAACGCGUGAGUAACCUGCCUUAUGGAGGGGGACAACAGUUAGAAAUGACUGCUAAUACCGCAUGAGACCACAAGAUCGCAUGGUCAAGGGGUCAAAGAUUUAUCGGUGAUAGAUGGGCUCGCGUCUGAUUAGCUAGUUGGUGAGGUAACGGCCCACCAAGCCGACGAUGGGUAGCCGAGCUGAGAGGCUGAUCGGCCACACUGGAACUGAGACACGGUCCAGACUCCUACGGGAGCAGCAGUGGGGAAUAUUGGGCAAUGGGGAAACCCUGACCCAGCAACGCCGCGUGAGGAGAAGUUUCGGAUUGUAAACCUCUGUCGCAGGGGACGAAGAAUGACGGUACCCUGUAAGAAAGCCCCGGCUAACUACGUG
rnacentral:rRNA from 1 species